GAAGGUAUAGCUCAGCAAUAGAGUGCAUACUUCGCAGGCAUGAGGUCCUGAGUUCAAUCCCCAGUACAGCCA
rnacentral:tRNA from 1 species